rnacentral:lncRNA from 1 species
CAGAUCUAAGCAUCUACAUGACCUUUUCCGUAUGCAAAACCUUCCUCAAUUACAGAAUAUAAACAUCAUCAAGAGCAAGGACACAUACAAUGAAAAUAAAAGGAAACGAUAGGCUCUUCGUCUUUACGUGCAUAUGUAUUCCCUUGUUCCCUUUCAAAUUUAUAUAAUCUAAAAAUAUAAUAAGUAUUUCCUUUUGUGAAAAAAAUUACUUAUGUUUGGAUACAACUCAUAACUAAACUAAAGUGUAUUGAUCACAGUUUUUCGUUGGUUUUAUACAUAAAUUUUGUAUUCAUUCUAACUGUAUGCCAU